AAACCAACUGGGAUUGCCUUAGUAACGGCGAGUGAAGCGGCAAAAGCUCAAAUUUGAAAUCUGGCGCCUUUGGUGUCCGAGUUGUAAUUUGAAGAAAGUAACUUUUGAAAUGAGCCUUGCAUAAGUUCCUUGGAACAGGACGUCAUAGAGGGUGAGAAUCCCGUAUAUGGUGGGGUAUUCAUUUCAAUGUAAAGUGCUUUCGAAGAGUCGAGUUGUUUGGGAAUGCAGCUCUAAGUGGGUGGUAAAUUCCAUCUAAAGCUAAAUAUUGGCGAGAGACCGAUAGCGAACAAGUACAGUGAUGGAAAGAUGAAAAGAACUUUGAAAAGAGAGUGAAAAAGUACGUGAAAUUGUUGAAAGGGAAGGGCUUGAAAUCAGACUUGGUAUUCAGUGAUCAGCGAUCUCUUGGGGUUGUGCACUUGCUGUUUACUGGGCCAGCAUCGGUUUUGACGGUGGGAUAAGAGUACUUGAAUGUGGCUCCCUUCGGGGAGUGUUUAUAGCCUGUGCUGAUACUACCAGUUGAGACCGAGGACCGCGCAUUUUUGCUAGGAUGCUGGCGUAAUGAUUUUAAGCCAC
rnacentral:rRNA from 1 species